UACGUAGGUGGCAAGCGUUGUCCGGAAUUAUUGGGCGUAAAGCGCGCGCAGGUGGUUUCUUAAGUCUGAUGUGAAAGCCCACGGCUCAACCGUGGAGGGUCAUUGGAAACUGGGGAACUUGAGUGCAGAAGAGAAGAGUGGAAUUCCACGUGUAGCGGUGAAAUGCGUAGAGAUGUGGAGGAACACCAGUGGCGAAGGCGACUCUUUGGCCUGUAACUGACACUGAGGCGCGAAAGCGUGGGGAGCAAACAGG
rnacentral:rRNA from 1 species